rnacentral:rRNA from 1 species
AUUGAACGCUGGCGGCAUGCCUUACACAUGCAAGUCGAGCGGCAGCGCGGGGGCAACCCUGGCGGCGAGCGGCGCACGGGUGAGUAAUACAUCGGAACGUGUCCUUUCGUGGGGAUAACCAGUCGAAAGAUUGGCUAAUACCGCAUGAGAUCUCACGAUGAAAGCGGGGGACCCGAGGGUAACUUCGGGCCUCGCGCGAUUGGAGCGGCCGAUGUCGGAUUAGCUAGUUGGCGGGGUAAAAGCCCACCAAGGCGACGAUCCGUAGCUGGUUUGAGAGAACGACCAGCCACACUGGGACUGAGACACGGCCCAGACUCCUACGGGAGGCAGCAGUGGGGAAUUUUGGACAAUGGGGGCAACCCUGAUCCAGCCAUGCCGCGUGAGGGAAGAAGGCCU